UUAGCUGAUGCAGUUAAAAGCUCGUAGUUGGAUCUAGGGACGCGCAUUUCAAGCGCCCGUGCCAUCGGGUCAAACCGGUGGCUGCGUUGGCGUUGCGGGCUCGGUCCGUCGGUGCCCCACAAAGGUUAUCGGCGUGUCAACCGGCCCGCCCGUCCCCUCCUUCUGGAUUCCCGUUCCUGCUAUUGAGUUAGUGGGGACGUCACAGGGGGUUCAUCGUCGGCGUUUCAACGCGUCGGCGGUGGAUCUCUGGGGCCCAGAUCGUUUACCGUGAAAAAAUUAGAGUGUUCAAAGCAGGCAGAUUCAAUUUUCUGCCACCGAAUACAUUAGCAUGGGAUAAUGGAAUAGGACCCUGUCCUCCUAUUUUCAGUUGGUUUUGGCGAAGCUAGGACCAGGGUGAAAACCACUACGGGGCCCAGCGGGGGUAUCAAAUUAAAAAAGACAGAGGUGAAAUUCUUGGAAUUUAUGAAAGAUUAAACUUCUGCGAAAGCAUCUGCCAAGGAUGUUUUCAUUAAUCAAAGAACGAAAGUUAGGGGAUCGAAAACGAUUCACAUACCGUCGUAGUCUUAACCCAUAAACGAUGCCGACCAGGGAUUAGGAGACGUUGAAUACAAAACACCACCAUCGGCGCGGUCGUCCUUGGCGCGUUCGUGUUCACGCACGGGCGCGCGAGGGCGGUUUAGCCCGGUGGCACCGGUGAAUGACUCCCCUAGCAGCUUGUGAGAAAUCAUAAGUCUUUGGGUUCCGGGGGGAGUAUGGUCGCAAGGCUGAAACUUAAAGGAAUUGACGGAAGGGCACCACCAGGAGUGGAGCCUGCGGCUUAAUUUGACUCAACACGGGGAAACUUACCAGGUCCGGACAUAGUAAGGAUUGACAGAUUGAUAGCUCUUUCUUGAUUCUAUGGGUGGUGGUGCAUGGCCGUCUUAGUGGUGGAGUGAUGGCCGC
rnacentral:rRNA from 1 species